UUGAAAUAAUGAGUAAUUAAAAUUCUGAUAAAAAAAAAAAUCACAUAAAUGUUCACGUAAAGGAGACAGGAGUGAACUCUGCGCAUGUACAAGAGGAACGGAGGCGGGAAGCCGUAGCCGAGCCCAUUUCGAACUUUGUUUGAAACACACAGUCAGUUGAAGCCGUUGAAGAACAGCGUGAAGAUGGAACCUGCUACUGAGCACAUCAACUCUUAAGUGUGUCCCUGGAAGAUCUACCAUCAACUUCCAGAACUGCAACUGCUAGUACUGUCAGAUGGUGAAUGCUACUCAGGCAAACACCAUUGUUACACCACUUUGAAGGAGAGCCUGGUCAUUUGGUCCCCUCAGCUUCUCCCUUUCUCAGUGAUAUGUUCAUUGUGGCUGGGAUAAUUGUGGGGCACUCUUUCCUUCAUGGAGGACCCUGCUUGUCUGGACUCUGUGAUGUGGUUGUCCAUACUGCUUCGUGGGAGCCCAGACACGGCUACAGUAAACCUGGAGGACUGUGCAGACCUGGACAUUAGAGAAACAAUCAGGCUUCUGGAGGUGGAAUCAAACCUAUCAGCUGAAGAAAUGGGAAGGGUACAGAACGUGGCCUCUUCCUGGGACCUCCCUCCGCUAACGACAACCAACAGGGCCCUUAAUGCUCUGCGGUGAAAAAUGGAGCAACAAGGCUGACCGUGACAUCGGGAGAGCUGAGGCAGAUCAUCUUAAACAUGAUGCACCUGGACGGUCCGGUGGCGGAGACUUCAAGAAUUAAAUAAAAUUACAAUGAAAUGGAUAA